rnacentral:rRNA from 1 species
UACGUAGGGUGCAAGCGUUGUCCGGAAUUAUUGGGCGUAAAGAGCUUGUAGGCGGUUUGUCGCGUCUGCUGUGAAAUUUCGGGGCUCAACCCCGAACUUGCAGUGGGUACGGGCAGACUAGAGUGUGGUAGGGGAGACUGGAAUUCCUGGUGUAGCGGUGAAAUGCGCAGAUAUCAUGAGGAAGACCAGUGGCGAAGGCGGGUCUCUGGACAGUUCCUGACACUGAGGCACGAAGGCCAGGGGAGCAAACGGG